AGGAAGUCACACAAACAGGUAGAGUUAAAACAGCCGUGGUGUGAAAUUAUCCACAGCUCAGGGUCAACAUGUCUGCAGAUGGGACCAAGUUGUUAUUCGAGAGCUUUCUGCAGAAAAGAAAGGACACUCUGAAGAUAAUGUGGGUCACUUAUUGGUUCAGACUCCAGAACACCACCUUGUUCUUCUACACCAAGAAGAACGGCAGUGCUUCACACCUGAGAGGAUAUUACUACAUCUACACAGUGAGUCCUGCACUCUGUAUUACAGCUCAGACAUGGG